rnacentral:rRNA from 1 species
GAUGAACGCUGGCGGCGUGCCUAAUACAUGCAAGUCGAGCGAACGGACGAGAAGCUUGCUUCUCUGAUGUUAGCGGCGGACGGGUGAGUAACACGUGGAUAACCUACCUAUAAGACUGGGAUAACUUCGGGAAACCGGAGCUAAUACCGGAUAAUAUUUUGAACCGCAUGGUUCAAAAGUGAAAGACGGUCUUGCUGUCACUUAUAGAUGGAUCCGCGCUGCAUUAGCUAGUUGGUAAGGUAACGGCUUACCAAGGCAACGAUGCAUAGCCGACCUGAGAGGGGGAUCGGCCACCCUGGAACUGAGACCCGGCCCAGACCCCUAGGGGGGGCAGCAUGAGGGAAUCUUCCGCAAGGGGCGAAAGCCUGACGGAGCAACGCCGGGGGGGUUAUGAAGGUUUUGGGAUCGUAAAACUCUGUUAUUAGGGAAGAAAAUAUGUGUAAGUAACGGUGCACAUUUUGACGGUACUUAAGCAGAAAGCCCCGGCUAACUACGU